rfam:Ovis aries breed Texel chromosome 11, whole genome shotgun sequence.
UCCCUGGUGGUCUAGGGGUUAGGACUCGGCACUUUCACUGCCAGAGGCCCAGGUUCGAUCCCUGGUUGGGGAA